UCCUUAAAAGAAAUUUAAGGUGAUACCUGCCCGGUGAUUUAUUGUUUUUAAAAAUAAAAUUUAAAGAUUUGAAUUUAACGGCCGCUGUAUUCUUGACGGUGGUAAUGUAGGAAAAUAAAUAGUUAUUUAAUUGAUGAACGUAGGUGAAUGGUUUUACGAGGUUUUCACUGUCUUAAAUAUAAGUUUAUAAAAGUUUAAUUAACAGUGAAGAUGCUGUUUAAAAUUGUAAGACGAAAAGACCCUAUAAAGCUUAACUAUUUUUUUUUUUAAUAUUAUUAGGUUUUUUAGAAAAUUUGUAUAUUUUAAUAAUUAGGUAGUUUGAUUGGGGCAAUAGCAUUUUAAAUAUAAAGAAUGCAAAUUUAUGUUUUAAAUGAUUUUAUUUAUUGUUUAAUUUAUUAAUUUAACAAUCACAAAGUGGAUUAUAGUGACCUGUCUUUUUUAAAAAGAUUAAAUCGACAAAAAUUAAAUAAAAGCUACUUUAGGGAUAACAGGUUAAUUUUUUCUUAGAGAAGAUAUCGAAGAUGAAGUUUGACACCUCGAUGUUGAAUUGAGUUAUCCUAGUAAUGCAGCAGUUACUGAAGGUUGGUCUGUUCGACCAUUAAAAACUU
rnacentral:rRNA from 1 species